rnacentral:rRNA from 1 species
UACGUAGGGUGCGAGCGUUAAUCGGAAUUACUGGGCGUAAAGCGUGCGCAGGCGGUUUUGUAAGCCAGAUGUGAAAGCCCCGGGCUCAACCUGGGAAUGCAAUGGAUACUGGCAGGCUAGAGUGCGGUAGAGGUAGUGGAAUUCCCGGUGUAGCGGUGAAAUGCGUAGAGAUCGGGAGGAACACCAGUGGCGAAGGCGACACACUGGGCCAUUACUGACGCUGAGGCGCGAAAGCGUGGGAGCAAACAGG